rnacentral:rRNA from 1 species
UACAGAGGGUGCGAGCGUUAAUCGGAAUUACUGGGCGUAAAGCGUGCGUAGUCGGUUAUCUAAGUCGGAUGUGAAAUCCCCGGGCUCAACCUGGGAAUUGCAUUCGAAACUGAAUAGCUAGAGUUCGGCAGAGGGAAGUGGAAUUUCCGGUGUAGCGGUGAAAUGCGUAGAUAUCGGAAGGAACAUCAGUGGCGAAAGCGACUUCCUGGACCAGAACUGACGAUCAGGCACGAAAGCGUGGGGAGCAAACAGG